rnacentral:rRNA from 1 species
CCUACGGGAGGCAGCAGUGAGGAAUAUUGGUCAAUGGGCGCGAGCCUGAACCAGCCAAGUCGCGUGAGGGAGGACGGCCCUACGGGUUGUAAACCUCUUUUGUCGGGGAGCAACGGGCGCCACGUGUGGCGUCACUGAGAGUACCCGGAGAAAAAGCAUCGGCUAACUACGUGCCAGCAGCCGCGGUAAUACGUAGGUGGCAAGCGUUAUCCGGAUUUAUUGGGUGUAAAGGGCGUGUAGGCGGGAGCGCAAGUCAGAUGUGAAAACUCAGGGCUCAACCCUGAGCCUGCAUUUGAAACUGUGUUUCUUGAGUGCUGGAGAGGCAAUCGGAAUUCCGUGUGUAGCGGUGAAAUGCGUAGAUAUACGGAGGAACACCAGUGGCGAAGGCGGAUUGCUGGACAGUAACUGACGCUGAGGCGCGAAAGCGUGGGGAGCAAACAGGAUUAGAUACCCCUGUAGUC